rnacentral:rRNA from 1 species
UACGUAGGAGGCGAGCGUUGUCCGGAAUCACUGGGCUUAAAGCGCGUGUAGGCGGAUCGUUAAGUGUCUUGUGAAAUCCCACGGCUCAACCGUGGAACUGCUGGGCAUACUGGCGAUCUUGGGCCACUCAGGGGCGACCGGAACAAGCGGUGGAGCGGUGAAAUGCGUAGAUAUCGCUUGGAACGCCAAAGGUGAAGACAGGUCGCUGGGGGUGUGCCGACGCUGAGACGCGAAAGCCAGGGGAGCAAACGGG